UACGUAGGGGCCUAGCGUUGUCCGGAUUUAUUGGGCGUAAAGAGCUCGUAGGCGGUUUGGUGAGUCGGGUGUGAAACCUCCAGGCUCAACCUGGAGACGCCACCUGAUACUGCUGUGGCUAGAGUCCGGUAGGGGAGCGUGGAAUUCCUGGUGUAGCGGUGAAAUGCGCAGAUAUCAGGAGGAACACCAGCGGCGAAGGCGGCGCUCUGGGCCGGAACUGACGCUGAGGAGCGAAAGCGUGGGUAGCAAACAGG
rnacentral:rRNA from 1 species